GACGAACGCUGGCGGCAUGCCUAAUACAUGCAAGUCGAGCGGAAUGACGAGAGCUUGCUCUCUGAUUGUAGCGGCGGACGGGUGAGUAACACGUGGGCAACCUGCCCUACAGAUGGGGAUAACUCCGGGAAACCGGGGCUAAUACCGAAUAAUCAGUUUGUCCGCAUGGACAAACUCUGAAAGACGGUUUCGGCUGUCACUGUAGGAUGGGCCCGCGGCGCAUUAGCUAGUUGGUGGGGUAAUGGCCUACCAAGGCAACGAUGCGUAGCCGACCUGAGAGGGUGAUCGGCCACAUUGGGACUGAGACACGGCCCAA
rnacentral:rRNA from 1 species